UACGUAGGGUGCGAGCGUUAAUCGGAAUUACUGGGCGUAAAGCGUGCGCAGGCGGUUCGUUAUGUCCGAUGUGAAAGCCCCGAGCUCAACUUGGGAAUGGCAUUGGAAACUGGCGGGCUGGAGUGUGGCAGAGGGGGGUGGAAUUCCACGUGUAGCGGUGAAAUGCGUAGAGAUGUGGAGGAACACCAGUGGCGAAGGCGACUCUUUGGCCUGUAACUGACACUGAGGCGCGAAAGCGUGGGGAGCAAACAGG
rnacentral:rRNA from 1 species